UACGUAGGUGGCAAGCGUUGUCCGGAUUUACUGGGCGUAAAGGAUGCGUAGGUGGAUAUUUAAGUGGGAUGUGAAAUACCCGGGCUCAACUUGGGUGCUGCAUUCCAAACUGGAUAUCUAGAGUGCAGGAGAGGUAAGUGGAAUUCCUAGUGUAGCGGUGAAAUGCGUAGAGAUUAGGAAGAACACCAGUGGCGAAGGCGACUUACUGGACUGUAACUGACACUGAGGCAUGAAAGCGUGGGGAGCAAACAGG
rnacentral:rRNA from 2 species